rnacentral:rRNA from 1 species
UACAGAGGGUGCAAGCGUUGUUCGGAAUUAUUGGGCGUAAAGGGCGCGUAGGCGGUGCGGUAAGUCACCUGUGAAAUCUCCUGGCUCAACUGGGAGCUUGCAGGCGAAACUGCCGUGCUGGAGUGUGGAAGAGGCGAGUGGAAUUCCUGGUGUAGCGGUGAAAUGCGCAGAUAUCAGGAGGAACACCUAUUGCGAAGGCAGCUCGCUGGGACGUUACUGACGCUGAGACGCGAAAGCGUGGGGAGCAAACAGG